UUUAAGCUUCUUCUUCAUGUAUCCUUCUUCAAUUUCGUUUUCUUCUUCUGUUUCUGUUCUUGCGUUUUCCUUGGUGAUUAUUGAAGCGAUGUUCUGAGAAUGGUUCUGUUUGCAGGAUUCUGUUGAGGUGAUGAUGAGGGAGCUCAAUUGAGAGUUUGGUUGGGUUUUCGACAGUGAUGAUUUGAGGCUCUUGUUGUAGUUAGUCAUAACUAAUAUUAAUUGAAGGCUUAUGAAUACUACUUCUUAGAUGGUGGAUUGCACACAUGAAGAUGGGUUGAAGGAUGGAAUUGGAAGGUGGUUUGGAUUCAUGGGAUCUAUUGAAGAUGGGACUGUUUUGGAAUUGGAGUCAUUUGGGGAGAAAUAAUUUGGAUGUAAUUAUGACUUGUUGCAUGUAGAAUUGGAUUUGUAUUUGAAUGUAAUAGGAAUGAUUGUGUAUGAUAUGUUGUAAUUGAAAUGUGAAUAAUGGUUAAAUGUAACUUGGAACCCCAAAUGGUUUAAAUGGGAAUUAGAUGUGAUUUUUGUAA